rnacentral:rRNA from 1 species
UGGGGAAUAUUGGACAAUGGGGGCAACCCUGAUCCAGCAAUGCCGCGUGUGUGAAGAAGGCCUGCGGGUUGUAAAGCACUUUUGGCAGGGAUGAAAAGCACUGGAUUAAUAACCCAGUGUGUUGACCUAACCUGCAGAAGAAGCACCGGCUAACUCUGUGCCAGCAGCCGCGGUAAUACGUAGGGUGCAAGCGUUAAUCGGAAUUACUGGGCGUAAAGCGUGCGCAGGCGGUUAUGCAAGACAGGUGUGAAAUCCCCGGGCUUAACCUGGGAACUGCACUUGUGACUGCAUAGCUGGAGUACGGCAGAGGGGGAUGGAAUUCCGCGUGUAGCAGUGAAAUGCGUAGAUAUGUGGAGGAAUACCGAUGGCGAAGGCAGCCCCCUGGGAUAACACUGACGCCCAUGCACGAAAGCGUGGGGAGCAAACAGGAUUAGAUACCCAAGUAGUCCCUGAGCGGGCUGGCAAGGCGCAU